rnacentral:rRNA from 1 species
GACGAACGCUGGCGGCGUGCUUAACACAUGCAAGUCGAGCGGAAAGGCCCUUCGGGGUACUCGAGCGGCGAACGGGUGAGUAACACGUGAGUAACCUGCCCUCAGCUCUGGGAUAAGCCCGGGAAACUGGGUCUAAUACCGGAUAUGACCUUCCUUCUCCUGGAGGUUGGUGGAAAGUUUUUCGGUCUGGGAGGGGCCUAUGGUCCAUCAGCUUGUUGGCGGGGUAACGGCCCACCAAGGCAAUGACGGAUACCAGGCGCGAGAGCGUGACCUGGCUCAUUGGAACUGAGACACUGUCCAAACACCUACGGGUGGCUGCAGUCGAGAAUAUUCCACAAUGCACGAAAGUGUGAUGGAGCGACGCCGCGUGUUGAACGAAGGCCUUCGGGUCGUAAACAACUUUUCUCAGGGACGAAUUUUGACGGUACCUGAGGAAUAAGGGGUUGCUAACUCUGUGCCAGCCGCCGCGGUAAAAC